rnacentral:rRNA from 1 species
AUUUAGAGGAAGGAGAAGUCGUAACAAGGUUUCCGUAGGUGAACCUGCGGAAGGAUCAUUGUCGAAACCUGCACAGCAGAGCGACCCGCGGACGCGUUCAAUCGAUGGGCGCGGGCUGCCCGCCCGCCCCACUCCCGUCGGCCCGUGCCACCGCGGUGGCGCGGCCGGCGACCAACGAACCCGGCGCGGACUGCGCCAAGGAAACCGAAUCAAGGACGAUGCUCCCCGGGCCAUCGCCACGAUGCGCUCGCGGGCAGCACCCCCUGCGAUAGCAAUACAAUGACUCUCGGCAACGGAUAUCUCGGCUCUCGCAUCGAUGAAGAACGCAGCGAAAUGCGAUACCUGGUGUGAAUUGCAGAAUCCCGUGAAUCAUCGAGUCUUUGAACGCAAGUUGCGCCCGAGGCCUUCUGGCCGAGGGCACGCCUGCCUGGGCGUCACGCGUUUCGUCGCCCCACAGCCCGCCGCCCCCUCGCGGGCUCGGGCUGUCCGGGGCGGAUGCUGGCCUCCCGCGCGCUCCCGCCCGGCUGGCUGAAAACACGCGGCCCGCGUCGCACGGCGCUCGGCGGUUGGUGGAUGGUUUUGUCCCACUGCCUUGCCGGCGCGACGCAGCGGCCCGCAACAAACCGCGAACCCUGCCCGUCUCGGCGGACACCGGUUCCCUCUGCGACCCCAGGUCAGGCGGGACUACCCGCUGAGUUUA